rnacentral:misc_RNA from 1 species
AGCAGCCGCGGUAAUUCCAGCUCCAAUAGCGUAUAUUAAAGUUGCUGCAGUUAAAAAGCUCGUAGUUGAAUUUCGGGACUAAUAUGUCGGUCGUGCCUCGGUACGUACUGGCUUAUUGGUUUCUCCUUUCUGAAGAACCAUGAGGUCAUUUAUUUGGUGUCGUGGGGAAUCAGGACUGUUACUUUGAAAAAAUUAGAGUGUUUAAAGCAGGCUCACGCUUGAAUACAUUAGCAUGGAAUAAUGAAAUAGGACGUUUGAUUCUAUUUUGUUGGUUUCUAGGAUCGACGUAAUGAUUAAUAGGGAUAGUUGGGGGCAUUAGUAUUCAAUUGUCAGAGGUGAAAUUCUUGGAUUUAUUGAAGACUAACUACUGCGAAAGCAUUUGCCAAGGAUGUUUUCAUUAAUCAAGAACGAAAGUUAGGGGAUCGAAGACGAUCAGAUACCGUCGUAGUCUUAACCAUAAACUAUGCCGACUA